CCUCUUGCGUGCUCUGUUCAAGGCUUCUAGCUUCUAGGUUGAAUUAUUAUCGAAUAAUUUUGACUUAUGAGAUCAUUUGGUUGGAGUGAUUUGCUAUGGGUUCUUGUGAAUCUGUGAUUUUGUACUUGUUAAUUCGGUAAAUAGUUGUUGUCAUUCUUGCACUUGAGAUUAUUGUGUUACUUUGCUCUUCUCAAAUUGUAAAUUUGCUGAAUUGUUGCUGUUAUUGUAAUUCUUGAGAUUGAAAUUG